GAUGAACGCUGGCGGCGUGCCUAAUACAUGCAAGUCGAACGAAACUUCUUUAUCACCGAGUGCUCGCACUCACCGAUAAAGAGUUGAGUGGCGAACGGGUGAGUAACACGUGGGCAGCCUGCCCAAAAGAGGGGGAUAACACUUGGAAACAGGUGCUAAUACCGCAUAACCAUAGUUACCGCAUGGUAACUAUGUAAAAGGUGGCUAUACUACCGCUUUUGGAUGGGCCCGCGGCGCAUUAGCUAGUUGGUAGGGUAAAGGCUUACCAAGGCAAUGAUGCGUAGCCGAAUUGAGAGGUUGAUCGGCCACAUUGGGACUGAGACACGGCCCAAACUCCUACGGGAGGCAGCAGUAGGGAAUCUUCCACAAUGGGCGAAAGCCUGAUGGAGCAACGCCGCGUGGGUGAAGAAGGUCUUCGGAUCGUAAAACCCUGUUGUUAGAGAAGAAAGUGCGUGAGAGUAACUGUUCACGUUUCGACGGUAUCUAACCAGAAAGCCACGGCUAACUACGUG
rnacentral:rRNA from 1 species